rnacentral:rRNA from 1 species
AUUGAACGCUGGCGGCAUGCUUUACACAUGCAAGUCGAACGGCAGCGCGGGGCAACCUGGCGGUGCGUGGCGAACGGGCGAGUAAUAUACCGGAACGUACCCAGACGUGGGGGAUAACGUAGCUACAGUUACCCGAAUCCCGCAUACGAUCUACGGAUGAAAGUCGGGGUCCGCAUGGCCUUAUUCUUUCGGAUCGGCCGAUAUCUGAUUAGCUAGUUGGUGAGGUAAAGGCUCACCAAGGCGACGAUCAGUAGCUGGUCUGAGAGGACGACCAGCCACACUGGAACUGAGACACGGUCCAGACUCCUACGGGAGGCAGCAGUGGGGAAUUUUGGACAAUGGGCGCAAGCCUGAUCCAGCAAUGCCGCGUGAGUGAAGAAGGCCUUCGGGUUGUAAAGCUCUUUUGUCAGGGAAGAAACGGUAGAGGCUAAUAUCCUUUGCUAAUGACGGUACCUGAAGAAUAAGCACCGGCUAACUACGUG